UAAAACGUAGGACACAAGCGUUAUCCGGAGUUACUGGGCGUAAAGAGCGCGUAGGCGGUCUGAUAAGUUCGCUAUGAAAGCACCUGGCUAAACUGGGUGAGGCUGGCGGAUACUGUCAGGCUAGAGUGAGACAGAGGCAGAUGGAAUUCCGCGUGUAGUGGUGAAAUGCGUAGAGAUGCGGAGGAACACCAGUGGCGAAGGCGGUCUGCUGGGUCUCAACUGACGCUGAGGCGCGAAAGCGUGGGGAGCGAACGGGAUUAGAAACCCCGGUAGUCCAUGCCGUAAACGAUGCACACUAAACGUCCGUGACCCGCGAGGGUUGUGGGUGCUGAAGCAAACGCGAUAAGUGUGCCGCCUGGGGAGUACGGUCGCAAGGCUA
rnacentral:rRNA from 1 species